AUUAAAGAUUAGCAAGUAUAAUUCAAACACGAAUCAAAUUCAAUCAAAAUUUCAAAGGAAUUAUGUAAGAAAUAUAAAGUAUUUUUAAAGACCCUUUAAAGAAAUCAUAAAGAAAUAAUAUAGGAUUUCAAAAAUAUACUAAAAUAGAAAUCUUAAUAAAAUAUUAAAAUAGAAACCUUAAUUAAAUCCUAACCAAAUCUUAACCAAAUCUUAGUCAAAUCCUAACCAAACUUUAAUAAAAUCCUAACCAAAUCCUAACCAAAUCUUAGUCAAAUCCUAACCAAAUUCUAAUAAAUCCUAUAUAAAUCUUAAUCAAAUCUUAAUAAAAUCCUAAUCAAAUCCUAAACAAAUUUUAAUCAAAUCCUAACCAAAUUUUAACCAAAUCCUAGUCAAAUCCUAAAAAUCCUAAUCAAAUUCUAACCAAAUCUUAAACAAACCUAAACAAACCUUAAUCAAAUCCUAAUCAAAUCUUAAAUAAACCUAAACAAAUCUUAAUCAAAUUCUAAUCAAAUCUUAAAUAAAUCUAAACAAACCUUAAUCGAAUCCUAAUCAAAUCUUAAACAUAUCCUAACCAAAUCUUAAAUAAUCCAAGUAAUUCCUACAGUAGAUUUUAACUUCAAUAACUAAUGAAUGAAUUAUUGAUUUUAGCUCAAAUUUUACUCACCUCUUUACAAUUAAGUUGACUAUGAGCAUAAUUUUUUUGAAUUAGAUUAAACUCUCUAAAAAGAACAACCCUAAUAUUUGCUCAAAUGUUGGUUAGCUUCCUUCUUCAAUCUGAAUGUUGAAUUUCCAAUAUCAAUA
rnacentral:lncRNA from 1 species